rnacentral:rRNA from 1 species
UACGUAGGGGGCGAGCGUUGUCCGGAAUUAUUGGGCGUAAAGAGCGUGUAGGCGGUUCGGUAAGUCUGCCGUGAAACCUGGGGACUCGAACCCCGGGCGUGCGGUGGAUACUGCCGGGGCUAGAGGGUGGUAGAGGCGAGUGGAAUUCCCGGUGUAGCGGUGAAAUGCGCAGAUAUCGGGAGGAACACCAGUACGCGAAGGCGGAGCUCGGCUGGGCCUUCCGUGACUGCUGA